CGCGUGGCGUGGCAACACGUUGCGUGAUGGUGCAGAAGUCAGCAGAGGCCGUAGUAGGGGCGCAGGUUAAGCGCGCUGAAGGGC
rfam:Vitreoscilla filiformis strain ATCC 15551 chromosome, complete genome.